rnacentral:rRNA from 1 species
AAAUUGAAGAGUUUGAUCAUGGCUCAGAUUGAACGCUGGCGGCAGGCCUAACACAUGCAAGUCGAGCGGAAACGACACUAACAAUCCUUCGGGUGCGUUAAUGGGCGUCGAGCGGCGGACGGGUGAGUAAUGCCUAGGAAAUUGCCUUGAUGUGGGGGAUAACCAUUGGAAACGAUGGCUAAUACCGCAUAAUGCCUACGGGCCA